AUUGAACGCUGGCGUAAUGCUUUACACAUGCAAGUCGAACGGCAGCACGGGGGCAACCCUGGUGGCGAGUGGCGAACGGGUGAGUAAUACAUCGGAACGUGCCCGGUCGUGGGGGAUAACGUAGCGAAAGUUACGCUAAUACCGCAUACGAUCUGCGGAUGAAAGCGGGGGACCUUCGGGCCUCGCGCGAUCGGAGCGGCCGAUGUCCGAUUAGGUAGUUGGUGGGGUAAAGGCCUCCCAAGCCGACGAUCUGUAGCUGGUCUGAGAGGACGACCAGCCACACUGGGACGGAGACACGGCCCAGACUCCUACGGGAGGCAGCAGUGGGGAAUUUUGGACAAUGGGCGCAAGCCUGAUCCAGCCAGUCCGCGUGCAGGACGAAGGCCUUCGGGUUGUAAACUGCUUUUGUAUGGAACGAAAAGGCUCUGGCUAAUACCUGGGGCUCAUGACGGUACCGUAAGAAUAAGCACCGGCUAACUACGUG
rnacentral:rRNA from 1 species